CGUACGUCAUCAGUCCUCGUGACAGUACGCGAAGAUGGUGCGCAAAUAUGCUGCCGGCUUAGCGAUCACGUAUACGUGAUAGUGUGCUGAUAUUUGUCUUUGGCGGUCAAAUUUGAAACCUUUCGAAAAAUCCAAUAUCUAAAAUAUAAUAUUUUUUUGUGGUGGAAUGUGUAUAUGCGGUUUCGACAUGAACACAGUUCGAUAUCUCAUUUAUUUUCAAUAUCUCGGUACCAGAUAUAGCGGUGUGAUGAAGGCUCCUUCUUUUCAACUAGUCCAAGGGGUUCAGAAUCAUGUGGAGAAUGCAGUACGGAAGUUGAAGCCAAUCAAUGAGGUGUCCUUUUGCAUAUCCAGUCGGACUGACACAGGAGUCCAUGCACUUUGUAACUCGGCACAUUUGGACAUUCAGCGAAAGCCUGGCAAGCCCCCACUCACAGGGCAGAUCCUAACAAGAGCACUUAAUUUUUACCUUAAACCUGAACCUAUUAGCAUUAUAAGAGCAAUCCAAGUGCCAGAUACAUUCCACGCACGACAUUCUGCCAUUUCAAGAACAUAUGUUUAUCGCUUAGCCACAAAAGUCAGUCAUCAUUCUCAAUUGCCCAUGACAGACAAGAACCUCUGCUGGUCCUUAUCAGACAUGGAACUGGAUAUUAAAGCUAUGAAGGAUGCCAGUGCCUUGCUGCUUGGUACUCAUGACUUUAGUUCUUUUCGUGCACUCAACUCUGAUGCCUCCUUCAAGAGUCCUGUAAAAACACUGCUUUGUGCACAAAUUGAGCUGAGCCCAGGUUCCUUCUCUCAGAAGCACUUCCACAGGGAUGUACAGUACUGGGAACUUACUUUCAGAAGUAGAUCUUUCUUAUACAAGCAGGUUCGUAGAAUGACUGGAGCAUUAGUGGCUGUUGGACAAGGAAAACUCUCUGUCUCAGACCUACAGGCAUUGCUAGAGGCCAAGGACUCUCGGGCUUAUCCUCAAAAUAUAGCUGCCCCUCCUGAUGGCCUUUUUCUAACCAAUGUGGAAUACAGACAAUCAGAUUUAAUUUCAGUUCUGAAAGAUUCUCCGGAGUGAUGAAAGGAGAGCAUACAUGAAUUAAAAUGUGCUUUGAUAUACUUUUCCCCUAUUGUUAUCCUUACUUUAGCACAUUUAUACAGUAUAUCAGUAGGCUGUCCAUUGUGUCUGAUGACAACUUCCUCCUACCCACUGUCACCUGCAGAGGGUUCGGAGCCACUGAUGCUGAUGCCACUGCAAUUGACUGUGGCGGCCUAUGCAUGAGCCGCACACUUACCCACUGAUGGGGCAAAGUCGUCCAAAUAUUGGGGUAAUACCAGCUACCUUCUGGUGUCAUUGGAUAUGUCUUUUGCUUCUCUGCAGUGGGAUGUUGUAUUGAAUUUGUUCAGUCACCCUGGCACAGGUAACUUGCAAGGCAGUUCCAGAGGUUGAGAGUGAUCUUUGUUGCAACUUUUCAGGUCUUUUCAUACAGUCCUUACAGUGCCUCUUUCUUUGUCAGCAACCCGUUUUGCAUUACUGAGUUGCCUGUACAGGACUAGAUGGAGUAGGUGGUGGUCAGAAAUGCAGAUAUUUUGCCCUGUCCAGCAAAGGUGUUUUUUUAGCCACUGCAUGUUCCAUAGAAAUGAAAUUAGUUGUGGAAAGCAUCUCAGUAUGGGUUCAAUCAUUCCAGGACAGACCAAGGAUUUUUGGAAGGUAUUGGAUAAACACCUAGCAUUUUUUGGCAUUAUGUUUUAAAAAUUGCUACACAACUAUCGGCAGCAGUGUUUAUAAACAAUUUUGGAAUUUUUACAAAUACUUAAUUGUCCAAUGUAUGCUAACUGAUGUAACUGGAAAAAAAUUCUGCAAUCUCUAAAAAUUGGAAGUGUUCCAACAAUUUUGGACACUAGUAUACUAUGGAAGAGCUCUUUCUUUUAGAGAAUAAUGGAAACUGCGUUUCUGGGAGGGCACUUAAGAUGUGUUCCACCAGCUGGUUAAGCUUGAUUUUUGCCAACUAUGGGCUGGCUGGCUAUGUCGUCAUCAUGUUAUUGUGAGCAAUUGCAUGUAGGGAUGCAUGCCAUAGUGCUCCCUAACUUCUGCUGCUGACUACCCCAGCUGGGGUCCAGAGAGCAAUAUACAAGUCUUCUGUUGUCAGUACGUAGCCUCUCCAUCACCAAGAACCCUACAAUGCCUCUUCAGAGCAGCCCAGGGUAACUGGGGUUUUGCGACCUCAGACUUAGUGGGGGAUCUUGGAUCUGCAAUGGUCCCUAAAGGUGCUCCACAACCACUGUCCCACUGCCAUGUGAGUUAUCUUUGGGAGGUCCUGAGGGAUUAACCCUGAGUUCAAAUCUGCAGUUUGGGGACAGGCACAACCAACAUAUCAGACAAUCAGUAGUUCUCUGCAGCUCCAGCCCAACAAUGGUAGUCUUGAGCUUGUCUGUCUGUCUAUCUGUCUGUCUGGUGGAGAAAGGACUGCCUACCUCAAUCCCUUCCUUGCCAUAACCUUCUGAGCAUCCCUCUUUCUGGCUUAAGAACCGUAUACCUACACAAAUACACAUAUAGAGGUUCUCGCUCUCUUUUCAGUACAAUUCCAUAUGUAGUGACUUGUUUUUACUGUAUUAUCAUGUUAUGUUAACAUUAUUAUAUUAUGUGUAAGCUGUUUUAGUGUAUCUGGAAGCAUUUAAGUGUUUUACAUGCAUAAAAAAGUAAAGUAUAUACUAUAUCCUAAAAACAAACAUUUGACUAACUGACACUAUAUGUAUGAACCAUACUGUACGUAGCAGGUUCAGACUUAACUGCAAAUUCACCCUAAAGAUAGACUUAGAAAUGGAUCUCGUUCGUAACCUGGGAACUGCCUCUCUCCACUGAUUGGGCAUAUUUGCUUGUUUAUAGAAUUGUAAAGGGAAGUACAUUCAUCCAUAAAGGCAAGUACAGUCAGUCAUCAACUUACGUCCUAUUGUGCAACGUACCAUUGUACUUACGUCGCACAAGACCUUUAAUAAAACUCAAGAGAAGUCUGAAGACAAGCGGAUAUAUUUCACCAUGUGUAUGCCAUGUGACAAGAAUCAAAACUAACUGAUUGUGCUGCUGCUACAGAAAUUUAGGUACACGUGAGAUACUGACUAAUUUUAUGUUAUACAGCAGGGGUCACCAACAUGGUGCCUAUGGGCACCAAAGUGCCCCCAAGGACCACAUGAGUAGCCCGAGGACCUAUUCUAAAAAUAGCACAACCCACCAGUGAGCAGUGUCUAAAAUAAAAUUUUAUCCUGUUGCUAAUUCUUCUUUAACCUUAUUGGGUCUACGGAGUCACUUUCACUGAAUGGGGCACGGUCACACAAAUUUAAUAUCAUAGACUUAAUUCAUGGCAAAUAAAUUAUUUCUUAUAUAUUUGUUUUGGCAUUAAAUUCAUCUCAAUCUUAGUGUACUUUGUAAAUAUGUCAAAUUCAUGUGAAGUUUGCAAUUUGACGUGAAAGUAUAGACCUUGCAAAAUGUAGUUUGGAACACUUGCAGAAACAUUAUAAAAGUACAUAGUAAGCAAUGGUGGAAGUUUGUUUUGAUCCCAGAUAUCUGAUCACCAAAGUCUUGGCUACAUGAAGAUAACUAAAUGGUGUAGUUGCAACAUUCAGUUGGAUAAAUAAAUAAGAAAAACUCA